AGCCUAGAUGAUGAUGGCUCACCAAUUUCCUUGCAAGGGCAAGAGCUGAUAAUCAACUGACUAAUGAGGAUUGACUUCUACAAUUGAUGAGCAUGGAAUUGGAUGUGCCUAAAUCAACAGAAGAGGGAUUUUGAUGUCAUCACACUGUAGCCCCAGAAGACAGAACGCUCAAAGGUGUCAAUGGGCAGAAUUUGUAGAUGACAUACAGCAUCCAAUGGAUUACUCCUAUUCAGUAUUCCUUAGAGCAAAGGAUGCAAUGUCAAGCAAGUUGUGAUACCUCAACUAUCUACAAUUUAACACCAAGGAAAGAACACUGUUUGGAGAAAUGAGAAAGAUUAUCAUCAGUGUCUUUCAGAAGUCAUCAAAGGAAGAAAAGGAGAAAAGAGAGGAGAAAGCAGAAAGAUCUGGAGUCUGGGAAGUUCAAGAGCAUGGCACCAACAUCUGGCAAGGGCUUUCAUGCUGCAUCAUCUCAUGGAGGAAAAUAAAAGGGCAAGAUUGUUUCCACAAUUUGUCAUACAUGGAUAUUUAGAACAUACUUUAGAAGUGGAGGAAAGAAUAAAAUAAUUUGAAGAUGGAGUACCCAAAAGCUGUG
rnacentral:lncRNA from 1 species